CCUAGCGGUAGCAAUAAGAACUCGCUUCGUGCCAGGUCUUUAUUAUCAUCGGUUGGUCAAGUCUUUAUUUACAGUUUGCAAUAUGGAGAUAUCCAGUGUGGAAUCAACGACAAAAGGACGGUUGGCGUAUUUUCAUCGAAUCCGUGAAACUCUUCCUUCCUCCUUUGCCAGGUGGACAGAAAAUGUGUAACGUUAACCGAGUUGCAGUCAGUUUUAUCUCGUUUCUAUGUCGCCUACGAAAUUCGAGAGAAAAUCGAAAGAAGAGUUCGAUAGGAGACAGUUUAUAAGGUUAUAACAAUCGGUAUCGAGGGAUUCAAAGUUUGCGCGUAAUGGCCGGCCAACCGAUACGAUUGCAACAGUUUUCCAACAGUUUCUUUAUUCUCUUCGGGGGGGAUUAGAAUUUUUGCAAAAGUUUCUGCAAGCGAUUUGAAUUUUUUAUGAUAACUAUUUCGAACGGAUCGAAUUUCAACUCAAAGAAUAAGUAACAACUCUUCUCUCGGAAAAAGAGAGAAAAUUCCUUUCGCUUGCAAAGAGGACGGAAGGGAUAUAUAUAUAUCAUAUGUCAAUUUUUCAAGUCGGGAUAACGACGAGAAAAUCGAUUUUACAUCGGCUGUCACCUGUCCUCUCGUCGACGUGAAAAUAGGAAUCGCGAUCUUGGAAUUGAAAUGGUCAGUGGAGGUGUCUGAGACGAGAAAGAAUCGAGAAAUUGGACCAGCGUGAAAUCGACGAAGAAUCGAGAAGGAUCGACGAACGCUUGCUGUCUUCGUUUCGCGCAUCCAGACGAUUUAUCUUUCUUCUCGUAUUAUAUAGUUUAUACAAUUUCUCUCUACGUUCGACAAGUGUUCGAA